rnacentral:rRNA from 1 species
GAUGAACGCUCGCGGCAGGCUUAACACAUGCAAGUCGAGGGGUAUUUAUCUUCGGAUAGAGAGACCGGCGCACGGGUGCGUAACGCGUAUGCAAUCUACCUUUUACAGAGGGAUAGCCCAGAGAAAUUUGGAUUAAUACCUCAUAGUAUAUAGACUCGGCAUCGAGAUUAUAUUAAAGUCACAACGGUAAAAGAUGAGCAUGCGUCCCAUUAGCUAGUUGGUAAGGUAACGGCUUACCAAGGCUACGAUGGGUAGGGGUCCUGAGAGGGAGAUCCCCCACACUGGUACUGAGACACGGACCAGACUCCUACGGGAGGCAGCAGUGAGGAAUAUUGGACAAUGGGCGCAAGCCUGAUCCAGCCAUGCCGCGUGCAGGAUGACGGUCCUAUGGAUUGUAAACUGCUUUUAUACGAGAAGAAACACUGCUACGUGUAGCAGCUGGACGGUAUCGUAAGAAUAAGGAUCGGCUAACUCCGU